CAAUAGCGUAUAUUUAAGUUGCUGCACUUCAAAAGCUCGUAGUUGGAUUUCGGGUGGGAAUGGCCGGUCCGCCGUUUCGGUGUGCACUUGCUACGCCCACCUUGCUGCCGGGGACGUGCUCUUGAGUUCACGCUCGGGACACGGAGUCGGCGAGGUUACUUUGAGUAAAUUAGAGUGUUCAAAGCAGGCCUACGCUCUGAAUACAUUAGCAUGGAAUAACACGAUAGGACUCUGGCCUAUCUUGUUGGUCUGUAGGACCGGAGUAAUGAUUAAGAGGGACAGUCGGGGGCAUUCGUAUUUCAUUGUCAGAGGUGAAAUUCUCGGAUUUAUGAAAGACGAACUACUGCGAAAGCAUUUGCCAAGGAUGUUUUCAUUAA
rnacentral:rRNA from 1 species